rnacentral:misc_RNA from 1 species
GAUGAAGAACGCAGCGAAAUGCGAUAAGUAAUGUGAAUUGCAGAAUUCAGUGAAUCAUCGAGUCUUUGAACGCACAUUGCGCCCCCUGGUAUUCCGGGGGGCAUGCCUGUCCGAGCGUCAUUGCCGCCCUCAAGCACGGCUUGUGUGUUGGGCCCCCGCCCCCCGGCUUCGGGGGGCGGGCCCGAAAGGCAGCGGCGGCACCGCGUCCGGUCCUCGAGCGUAUGGGGCUUCGUCACCCGCUCUGUAGGCCCGGCCGGCGCCCGGCGGCGACCCCAAUCAAUCUUUCCAGGUUGACCUCGGAUCAGGUAGGGAUACCCGCUGAACUUAAGCAUAUCAAUAAGCGGAGGA